rnacentral:rRNA from 1 species
UACGUAGGGGGCGAGCGUUGUCCGGAGUUACUGGGCGUAAAGGGCAUGUAGGCGGUGUGGCGCGUUUCGCGUGACAGCGGAUGGCUUAACUAUCCGAGGGUGCGAAAGACGGCCGCACUAGAGGGCCAGAGAGGGACACGGAAUUCCGGGUGGAGUGGUGAAAUGCGUAGAGAUCCGGAGGAACACCGAAGGCGAAGGCAGUGUCCUGGCUGGUGACUGACGCUGAGGUGCGAAAGCCAGGGGAG